rnacentral:rRNA from 1 species
GACGAACGCUGGCGGCGUGCUUAACACAUGCAAGUCGAACGGAAAGGCCCUGCUUUUGUGGGGUGCUUGAGAGGCGAACGGGUGAGUAACACGUGAGUAACCUGCCCUUGACUUUGGGAUAACUUCAGGAAACUGGGGCUAAUACCGGAUAGGAGCUCCUGCUGCAUGGUGGGGGUUGGAAAGUUUCGGCGGUUGGGGAUGGACUCGCGGCUUAUCAGCUUGUUGGUGGAGUAAUGACUUACGAAGGCUUUGACGGGUAGCCGGCCUGAGAGGGUGACCGGCGACAUGGGUACUAAGAUACGCCGCAGACUGCAACGGGAGGCAGCAGUCGGGAAUAUGGCACAAUGGGCGGACGCCUGAUGUAGCAACGCCGCGUGCGGGAUGACGGCCUUCGGGUUGUAAACCGCUUUCGCAUGUGACGAAGCGUGAGUGACGGUAAUGGGUAAAGAAGCACCGGCUAACUACGUG